AUUAUGGAGAGUUUGAUCCUGGCUCAGGACGAACGCUGGCGGCGUGCCUAAUACAUGCAAGUCGAGCGGAUUUAAGAG
rnacentral:rRNA from 1 species